GACGAACGCUGGCGGCGUGCUUAACACAUGCAAGUCGAACGGAAAGGCCCUGCUUUUGUUGGGUUCUCGAGUGGCGAACGGGUGAGUAACACGUGAGUAACCUGCCCUUGACUUUGUGAUAACUUCAGGAAACUGGGGCUAAUACCGGAUAGGAGCUCCUGCUGCAUGGUGUGGGUUGGAAAGUUUCGGCGGUUGGGGAUGGACUCGCGGCUUAUCAGCUUGUUGGUGGGGUAGUGGCUUACCAAGGCUUUGACGGGUAGCCGGCCUGAGAGGGUGACCGGCCACAUUGGGACUGAGAUACGGCCCAGACUCCUACGGGAGGCAGCAGUGGGGAAUAUUGCACAAUGGGCGGAAGCCUGAUGCAGCAACGCCGCGUGCGGGAUGACGGCCUUCGGGUUGUAAACCGCUUUCGCCUGUGACGAAGCGUGAGUGACGGUAAUGGGUAAAGAAGCACCGGCUAACUACGUG
rnacentral:rRNA from 1 species